AGGUGGAUAUUUAUUCUUGACAUCAUACAGCAUGAGCCAUUCAAGAAGGAAGGUCACCGCUAAUAUAGAUUGUGAAAGUGUGUAGGAUCAGGUGAACUGUCCACAGCAAACCAGUGAGGAAGAGGAUUAAGAGGAAUGAACAACUUAAUUUGUCUUUAAUAAAGACAUUCUAAAACCA